UACGGGUGGCGCAAGUGUUGCUUUGUUUGAUUGGGUAUGAAGGGUGCGUAGAUUGCAUAUUAUAAGGAGAUUAACCUAGGGCUUCUGUAAGGAUAUGCUUGGGUAUAUAGGGCGAUUGUGGAAUUUCCUGUAUCAGAGUUGAAAUGCGUAUAAGACAGGAGGAAACACCGGUGGCGAAGGCAGCAAUCGAUUGUAUACUGACGUUGAGGCACGAAAGGCAUGGGUAUCGAAAUGGGG
rnacentral:rRNA from 1 species